rnacentral:lncRNA from 1 species
UGGUGUUUGUCUGUUUUUUAAUUCUAUGCGGGGUCACGGGGACGGGCGCCGAUAUACACCUUGUAAAACAGCCAGGGAACCUUUGGGUCACUUGGGCCCACCGCACCGGCCAGACAGACUUUUGUCUUUCUACACAGUCGGCUACCUCGCCAUUUAGAACGUGCUUAAUUGGUGUCCCAUUAGGGAUCCAAGAACAGGAUUUUAAGGGCUAUGUCUCUGAUACUAGUUGCGGGGCACCAGAGCAAGACCGACUUUUUGUAUCAGAGGAAAUCAAGAGUGGCCCUCACACAAAGGUUACCUUUGCCUAUCGAAAGGUAGCUUGCUUGCUGACAAGAUUGAAUGUUUCCCUUUGGGACGAGCCACUAGAGAUGCAAUUGUUAGGCUCACAAGCCCUCCCAAAUGUCACCCAUAGUACUCCCUCUACAACUGAUCCUACAGUGGGGGGAUGCAUAGGGUUUGCCCCAUAUUCAAAACCAGCCGGCAUCUACGGGUGGGACCGUGAGGGAAUGGCGCACAACUUUCUGCUAGCCCCAUGGUCUAAUCCCUUUUUUAACCGAGAAACCAACUCUUCUGACCUAUUCACUAUAGUAACGGCUGAUAGGAACCAACUCUUCGAGGGAGGGGGAUAUUGUGGCAGAUAUCAACAUAAGUAUUGGCAAAUGUUCAAUUGCACACACUCGCAACGCACAGGACCCUCUCGAUCCUUCGACGUCUACACGUGUACAAUAGGGAAGUCUACUACACAAAGCCCGACACCUCCUUGGGUCAACUGCAAGAGAGGGGGUGAGUGGGUCAAUAGUUUCCAACCCUUUAAUGUGAAUGGUACCACGGUAUACUGUACUGGCGAUCAGCUUGGUAACGCCAGCGGGUGCUGUGGGUGGGCUGCCACAGUCUUCCCACCAGGAGCAUGGCUUAAUUGUAAAAGUAGUACCUUCUCCAAGCCGAAGGCGCUACCACCUAACAUUUUUCUCAUUUGCGGAGAUCGCGCGUGGCAAGGAAUACCAAGUCGUCCGGUAGGAGGUCCUUGCUAUCUAGGUAGGCUCGCCAUGUUAGCACCUAAUCAUACGGAAAUCAUUAAGACCCUUAGAAUGCUCAGCGAUACAACACGAACACCUAGCAGAACAAAACGAAGCAUAAAGCAGAUGGGCGAGACGUGCUCGGAUGGCGUGCAGCUUUGGGGUGCCACGGCAAGAAUCUUCGCGUCUAUCCUAGCUCCGGGAGUGGCAGCAGCACAGGCUUUAAAAGAAAUUGAGAGACUGGCUUGUUGGUCCGUUAAACAGGCCAAUGUAACAACAUCACUCCUCAACAAUCUGUUAAUGGACGUCACGAGUAUCAGACACGCGAUCCUACAGAACCGAGCAGCUAUUGACUUUUUGCUUUUGGCUCAGGGCCAUGGUUGUGAGGACAUUGCAGGGAUGUGCUGUUUCAAUCUCAGCGAUCAUAGUGAAUCGAUGCACA